rnacentral:rRNA from 1 species
GACGAACGCUGGCGGCGUGCCUAACACAUGCAAGUCGAGCGAGGUUGCGGAUGGGUGCUUGCACCCUGAAGCUACCUAGCGGCGGACGGGUGAGUAACGCGUGAGUAACCUGCCUUAUACAGGGGGAUAACAACGAGAAAUCGUUGCUAAUACCGCAUAAGACCACGGUAUCGCAUGGUACAGGGGUAAAAGGAGCAAUCCGGUAUAAGAUGGACUCGCGUCCCAUUAGCUAGUUGGUGAGAUAACAGCCCACCAAGGCAACGAUGGGUAGCCGACCUGAGAGGGUGAUCGGCCACACUGGGACUGAGACACGGCCCAGACUCCUACGGGAGGCAGCAGUGGGGAAUAUUGGGCAAUGGGCGAAGGCCUGACCCAGCAACGCCGCGUGAAGGAAGAAGGUCUUCGGGAUUGUAAACUUCUGUCGUCAGGGACGAAAAAGGACGGUACCUGGCAAGAAAGCCCCGGCUAACUACGUGCCAGCCGCCGCGGUAAAAACCAUACUCGCGU